rnacentral:rRNA from 1 species
AACGAACGCUGGCGGCAUGCCUAACACAUGCAAGUCGAACGAGACCUUCGGGUCUAGUGGCGCACGGGUGCGUAACGCGUGGGAACCUGCCCUUAGGUUCGGAAUAACUCCCCGAAAGGGGUGCUAAUACCGGAUAAUGUCUUCGGACCAAAGAUUUAUCGCCUUUGGAUGGGCCCGCGUUGGAUUAGCUAGUUGGUAGGGUAAAAGCCUACCAAGGCGACGAUCCAUAGCUGGUCUGAGAGGAUGAUCAGCCACACUGGGACUGAGACACGGCCCAGACUCCUGCGGGAGGCAGCAGUGGGGAAUAUUGGACAAUGGGCGAAAGCCUGAUCCAGCAAUGCCGCGUGAGUGAUGAAGGCCUGAGGGUUGUAAAGCUCUUUUACCCGGGAUGAUAAUGACAGUACCGGGAGAAUAAGCUCCGGAUAACUCCG